GUCGAACGGGGUUAUCAUUUUUGAAGCGAUUAGCUUGCUAAGAGUGGAACAUUUGAUAACUUAGUGGCGGACGGGUGAGUAACGCGUGGGUAACCUGCCUUACACAGGGGGAUAACACUUAGAAAUAGGUGCUAAUACCGCAUAAGCGCACAGUCCCGCAUGGGACAGAGUGAAAAACAUUAGUGGUGUAAGAUGGACCCGCGUCUGAUUAGCUUGUUGGCGGGGUAACGGCCCACCAAGGCGACGAUCAGUAGCCGGCCUGAGAGGGUGGACGGCCACAUUGGGACUGAGACACGGCCCAAACUCCUACGGGAGGCAGCAGUGGGGGAUAUUGGACAAUGGGGGAAACCCUGAUCCAGCGACGCCGCGUGAGUGAAGAAGUAUUUCGGUAUGUAAAGCUCUAUCAGCAGGGAAGAAAGAAAUGACGGUACCUGAGUAAGAAGCCCCGGCUAACUACGUGCCAGCAGCCGCGGUAAUACGUAGGGGGCAAGCGUUAUCCGGAAUUACUGGGUGUAAAGGGAGCGUAGACGGUAAUGCAAGUCUGGAGUGAAAGGCGGGGGCCCAACCCCCGGACUGCUCUGGAAACUGUGUAACUGGAGUGCAGGAGAGGCAGGCGGAAUUCCUAGUGUAGCGGUGAAAUGCGUAGAUAUUAGGAGGAACACCAGUGGCGAAGGCGGCCUGCUGGACUGUAACUGACGUUGAGGCUCGAAAGCGUGGGGAGCAAACAGGAUUAGAUACCCUGGUAGUCCACGCCGUAAACGAUGAUUACUAGGUGUGGGUGGGUAUGGACCCAUCGGUGCCGCAGCAAACGCAGUAAGUAAUCCACCUGGGGAGUACG
rnacentral:rRNA from 1 species